CCUACGGGAGGCAGCAGUGAGGAAUAUUGGUCAAUGGACGCAAGUCUGAACCAGCCAUGCCGCGUGCAGGAAGACGGCUCUAUGAGUUGUAAACUGCUUUUGUAUGGGGGUAAAUCCCGAUACGUAUAUUGGUUUGCAAGUAUCGUAUGAAUAAGGAUCGGCUAACUCCGUGCCAGCAGCCGCGGUAAUACGGAGGAUUCAAGCGUUAUCCGGAUUUAUUGGGUUUAAAGGGUGCGUAGGCGGUCGGAUAAGUUAGAGGUGAAAUCCCGAGGCUCAACUUCGGAAUUGCAUCUGAUACUGGUAGGCUAGAGAGUAGUAGCGGUAGGCGGAAUGUAUGGUGUAGCGGUGAAAUGCUUAGAGAUCAUACAGAACACCGAUUGCGAAGGCAGCUUACCGAGCUACUUCUGACGUUGAGGCACGAAAGCGUGGGGAGCAAACAGGAUUAGAUACCCCAGUAGUC
rnacentral:rRNA from 1 species